rnacentral:rRNA from 1 species
UCGAGGGGCAGCACGGUAGCAAUACUGGGUGGCGACCGGCGCACGGGUGCGUAACGCGUAUGCAACCUACCUUUAACAGGGGAAUAGCCCGGAGAAAUCCGGAUUAAUGUCCCAUAAUAUUCACUGUGGACAUCCACUAUGAAUUAAAGUACCAACGGUUAAAGAUGGGCAUGCGUGGCAUUAGCUAGUUGGUGAGGUAACGGCUCACCAAGGCGACGAUGCCUAGGGGUUCUGAGAGGAUUAUCCCCCACACUGGUACUGAGACACGGACCAGACUCCUACGGGAGGCAGCAGUGAGGAAUAUUGGUCAAUGGACGCAAGUCUGAACCAGCCAUGCCGCGUGCAGGAUGACGGCCCUAUGGGUUGUAAACUGCUUUUGUUUGGGAAGAAACUCUCGUACGAGUACGGGAUUGACGGUACCAGGCGAAUAAGCAUCGGCUAACUCCGUGCCAGCAGCCGCGGUAAUACGGAGGAUGCAAGCGUUAUCCGGAUUUAUUGGGUUUAAAGGGUGCGUAGGCGGAAUAAUAAGUCAGUGGUGAAAUACCCCGGCUCAACCGGGGAACUGCCAUUGAUACUGUUAAUCUAGAGUAUAUUUGAUGUGGGCGGAAUGUAGCAUGUAGCGGUGAAAUGCUUAGAUAUGCUACAGAACACCGAUUGCGAAGGCAGCUCACUAAACUAUAACUGACGCUGAGGCACGAAAGCGUGGGGAGCAAACAGGAUUAGAUACCCUGGUAGUCCACGCUGUAAACGAUGAUCACUCGUUGUUGGCGAUAUACAGUCAGCGACUGAGCGAAAGUAUUAAGUGAUCCACCUGGGAAGUACGAU